rnacentral:lncRNA from 1 species
UGGGGUCCAGGGUCCUGACCGGGUACCCUGACGUGGAGGGAGGGGGCGCAUACAGGCAAUCCAGGUGUUAGCUAUCUUGCUGUCCUGUGACCUUGGCCUCCACAUCAAGCAGAGGUAAGUGGGCCCGAGACGGUAACUGGGCCGUAAACAUCCCCAGGGCUGGGCCCCUGCUGGUCCUUCAGCGCUCGUCCGGCCUCCUUGGGCAGCCCCCCGCCUGUCUGGCUGUGUGUCGCUGGGCGUUCGCUCAACCUCUCUGUGCCAUAGGAGGUGACGAGGGUGCUCACAUCACAGAGCACGGUGAGCUGACACUCAGAAGAUGCCGUAGCACCUGGUGCACAGAAAACGCUACGUCUGUCCAGUUACAGAUGUCGUGGAUCAAGACUAGGGAUUUGGGGAGCAGCCAGAUGUACAGUUGAAGGAGCGACAGACAUGGGACCAGGCCACCGGGAGGACGAACUGAGGUGCAGGGCGGGCGUGUGCAGAGCGGCCAUAAUGCCUCAGCAGCCUGCUUGGGUUUUCACCCAAAGCUGAGCCCGGGUCUGGCCCAAGCUGCUGCUCAGAACGUGUACAGGACGGAAGGAAAUCCCACACUAACCCCCAGUCCCCAUGACGCCUUCCCCCGGAGGGAAGCUUCAGGAUUAAAAUCUGAUGCCUUCGAACUCUACCCAUGGAAUAGUCACUUGGGUAAACUGCUGCUUUCCCUUUUUGCCUUGGCCGCCAGGGAGCUUUGAACCAAAGUUGUGAGCACCUCUCUGGCUCCACUUAGACUCAGCUCCUUGCCCUCGCCUUCCCUUCAUUUUUGGCCUCCGCUUUUAAUGACAUGCCCCAUGGCGUGCUCGUUGUACCCCUAAACCUUUUCUGGGCAAGGCCUGACUCCUUUCUUCGGGGUCCUCAGUCCCCACACCCUUUGGAUGCCCCCACCCCCGAGUGAUGUGGAAUUCUGCCCUUGGGAAAGCCUGGGAUGCUCAUGUCCUGGGCUUGGGUUCAAAGCCCUGGUCCCCUACUAGUCAGUGUGGUGCCGGGACCCCCUCCGCCCACACUUGCCCCGUCAGUGGGCGCUUGUAAGAUGCUGAGUA